GGGGAAUAUUGGACAAUGGGCGAAAGCCUGAUCCAGCAAUGCCGCGUGAGUGAUGAAGGCCUUAGGGUUGUAAAGCUCUUUUACCAGGGAUGAUAAUGACAGUACCUGGAGAAUAAGCUCCGGCUAACUCCGUGCCAGCAGCCGCGGUAAUACGGAGGGAGCUAGCGUUGUUCGGAAUUACUGGGCGUAAAGCGCACGUAGGCGGCGAUUUAAGUCAGAGGUGAAAGCCCGGGGCUCAACCCCGGAAUAGCCUUUGAGACUGGAUUGCUUGAAUCUUGGAGAGGCGGGUGGAAUUCCGAGUGUAGAGGUGAAAUUCGUAGAUAUUCGGAAGAACACCAGUGGCGAAGGCGGCCCGCUGGACAAGUAUUGACGCUGAGGUGCGAAAGCGUGGGGAGCAAA
rnacentral:rRNA from 1 species